UGGGGAAUUUUGGACAAUGGGCGAAAGCCUGAUCCAGCAAUGCCGCGUGUGUGAAGAAGGCCUUCGGGUUGUAAAGCACUUUUGUCCGGAAAGAAAUCCUUGGCUCUAAUACAGUCGGGGGAUGACGGUACCGGAAGAAUAAGCACCGGCUAACUACGUGCCAGCAGCCGCGGUAAUACGUAGGGUGCAAGCGUUAAUCGGAAUUACUGGGCGUAAAGCGUGCGCAGGCGGUUUGCUAAGACCGAUGUGAAAUCCCCGGGCUCAACCUGGGAACUGCAUUGGUGACUGGCAGGCUAGAGUAUGGCAGAGGGGGGUAGAAUUCCACGUGUAGCAGUGAAAUGCGUAGAGAUGUGGAGGAAUACCGAUGGCGAAGGCAGCCCCCUGGGCCAAUACUGACGCUCAUGCACGAAAGCGUGGGGAGCAAACAGGAUUAGAUACCCUGGUAGUCCACGCCCUAAACGAUGUCAACUAGUUGUUGGGGAUUCAUUCCUUAGUAACGUAGCUAACGCGUGAAGUUGACCGCCUGGGGAGUACGGUCGCAAGAUUAAAACUC
rnacentral:rRNA from 1 species